AUUGAACGCUGGCGGCAUGCUUUACACAUGCAAGUCGAACGGUAACAGGUUAAGCUGACGAGUGGCGAACGGGUGAGUAAUGCAUCGGAACGUGCCCGAUCGUGGGGGAUAACGCAGCGAAAGCUGCGCUAAUACCGCAUACGAUCUGAGGAUGAAAGCGGGGGACCGUAAGGCCUCGCGCGAUCGGAGCGGCCGAUGUCAGAUUAGGUAGUUGGUGGGGUAAAGGCCCACCAAGCCGACGAUCUGUAGCUGGUCUGAGAGGACGACCAGCCACACUGGGACUGAGACACGGCCCAGACUCCUACGGGAGGCAGCAGUGGGGAAUUUUGGACAAUGGGCGAAAGCCUGAUCCAGCAAUGCCGCGUGCAGGAAGAAGGCCUUCGGGUUGUAAACUGCUUUUGUACGGAGCGAAAAGGUCCUUUCUAAUACGGGGGACUCAUGACGGUACCGUAAGAAUAAGCACCGGCUAACUACGUGCCAGCCGCCGCCGUAA
rnacentral:rRNA from 1 species